UUAUACAUGAGCAAAAUCUCAACUUUUUUAGAAGAGAUGCAUUUAUUAGAUAAAAACCAAUACAUGCCUUUUAAAGUAUGGGAAUUUGGUGAUUUACAAUAACUUAGCAAAUCGCAUAGUGAAAACAGGCGAUAAAUCAUUCAAGUUUCUGACCUAUCAGCUUUCGACGGUAUGGUAUUGGCUUACCGUGGCAGUGACGGUUAACGGGGGAUUAGGGUUCGAUUCCGGAGAGGGAGCCUGAGAAACGGCUACCACAUCUAAGGAAGGCAGCAGGCGCGCAAAUUACCCAAUUCUAACAGCAUAAGAGAGGUAGUGACAAGAAAUAACAAUACAAGGCAGUUAAAAUGCUUUGUAAUUGGAAUGAUAGAAAUUUAAACACUUUUUAAAGUAUCAAUUGGAGGGCAAGUCUGGUGCCAGCAGCCGCGGUAAUUCCAGCUCCAAUAGCGUAUAUUAAAAUUGUUGCAGUUAAAAAGCUCGUAGUUGAAUUUCUGCUAAAAAUAACCGGUCUGCUUUUAAUAAAGGUGGUAUCUUGGUGUGUUUUUAGCAAUAAUGUCCUUUGAAAUGUUUUUUACUUUAUUGUAAUAAAUUAUAUUCAGGAUUUUUACUUUGAGAAAAUUAGAGUGUUUCUAGCAGGCUAACGCUUUGAAUACUGCAGCAUGGAAUAAUAAGAA
rnacentral:rRNA from 1 species